AAGAAAUAUCUCUCUGGGCUGAAACAGAAGUGUUUCUAAACUGUGCUGUUGGACUGAACUCUAGACCAAAGUGUAUCUCAAAGCACAGUGAGAUGAAGAAAAUGGUGGUGAAAGGUACAAUCAUGUCACCUAUUAUUGAAGUCUCUCAAAAAUUUAAUUUAGUGAAACAAUUUGCUGUGAAGAUUUUCUGUGGAGCCCAGAAUGGAGAUCACUGUCUCUUCUACAUGAACUCCUCUGAAGUUCCUUUCCAUACAGUGAAAUAUAACACACUGUAUAAAGCCUGCCAAUUUCAUUUAUCUGGAGAACAACUUUCUGGAGAAAUACCUCUGCAGUCUGAAACAAAGGUGUUCUUAAGCUGUGCUGUUUUAUUGAACUCAACUGAAGGAACACAUCUCUCACAGCGAAGUGUGAUGAAGAAGAUGGCGGUAACAGACCCAUUUGUAGUAAGGAUUGCAACGGAUAAAAUGAACAUGAGUGUCGAAGAGUCAACACGAGUUCGAUGUGAGGCCCAAAGAGGAACUCUAUGUCAUUUCUACACUGACCAGAGUGAAAUUCCAGUGAGGACAGAAAUGUUCCGGAGCAGAGCCUGUAUGGCCUCUCUGACUGGGAAGGAGAUACUGGCAAAAACUUUCCAUCAGAGUGAAGUGACAGAGGUUGAGCUGAGUUGUGUUGUUGAACUGAAACAGGACAAAAAAGAAGUGAUCUCCUUAGUACGCAGCAGAAGGGUCAGAAUAUUUGUACACAGUAAGUAAAUCACCCUUUUAGUAAACGAAUAACCACUAUUUCACUAUGGGGGCCACGGUGGUGCAGCAGGCUUGCCUAGUCCUGCUCUCUAGUGGGGCUGGGGUUUGAGUCCAGCUUGGGGUGC
rnacentral:lncRNA from 1 species